UGGAAGUCGGAAUCCGCUAAGGAGUGUGUAACAACUCACCUGCCSAAGCAACUAGCCCUGAAAAUGGAUGGCGCUUCAGMGUCSACCCCAUACCCGUCCGCCUCGGCGGAGAUGYGAUCGCCUUAUGCCGAGKUGAGUAGGAGGGCGCGGGGGCGCGCGUGGAAGGUGCCGGGCGUAAGUCCGCCUGGAACCGCCCCCGGUGCAGAUCUUGCUGGUAGUAGCAAAUACUCAAGUGAGAACCUUGAGGACUGAGGUGGAGAAGGGUUCCAUGUGAACAGCAGUUGAACAUGGGUCAGUCGGUCCUAAUGGAUGUCCGAAAGGAUUUCCGAAGGGGAGANNNNNNNNNNNNNNNNCCCCCAWGACCGAAAGGGAAUCGGGUUAAUAUUCCCGAACCCGGACACGGAGAUCGGUCCCUUCGGGGAMACGUGCGGUAACGCAAACGACCUCGGAGACGUCGACGGGGGUCCCGGAAAGAGUUGUGUUUUCUUUGUAAGGGUUCGGCUCCCUGGAAUCGGCUCGCCCGGAGAUAGGGAUGCUGAACCCGUAAAGCACCGCGCCUCUUGUGGUGUCCGGAGCGCUCCCGUCGGCCCUUGAAAAUCCNNNCGAGAGUUGGUGAUUUUCGUGCCGGCCCGUACCCAUAUCCGCAGCA
rnacentral:rRNA from 1 species